GAUGAACGCUGGCGGCGUGCCUAAUACAUGCAAGUCGAGCGAACGGACGAGAAGCUUGCUUCUCUGAUGUUAGCGGCGGACGGGUGAGUAACACGUGGAUAACCUACCUAUAAGACUGGGAUAACUUCGGGAAACCGGAGCUAAUACCGGAUGAUAUUUUGAACCGCAUGGUUCAAAAGUGAAAGACGGUCUUGCUGUCACUUAUAGAUGGAUCCGCGCUGCAUUAGCUAGUUGGUAAGGUAACGGCUUACCAAGGCAACGAUGCAUAGCCGACCUGAGAGGGGGAUCGGCCACACUGGAACGGAGACACGGUCCAGACGCCUAAGGGAGGCAGCAGUAGGGAAUCUUCCGCAAUGGGCGAAAGCCUGACGGAGCAACGCCGCGUGAGUGAUGAAGGUCUUCGGAUCGUAAAACUCUGUUAUUAGGGAAGAACAUAUGUGUAAGUAACUGUGCACAUCUUGACGGUACCUAAUCAGAAAGCCACGGCUAACUACGUG
rnacentral:rRNA from 1 species